rnacentral:rRNA from 1 species
UACGGGGGGGCAAGCGUUGUUCGGAAUUACUGGGCGUAAAGGGCUCGUAGGUGGCCAACUAAGUCAGACGUGAAAUCCCUCGGCUUAACCGGGAACUGCGUCUGAUACUGGAUGGCUUGAGUUUGGGAGAGGGACGCGGAAUUCCAGGUGUAGCGGUGAAAUGCGUAGAUAUCUGGAGGAACACCGGUGGCGAAGGCGGCGUCCUGGACCAGCACUGACACUGAUGAGCGAAAGCCAGGGAGCAAACGGGG